UACGUAGGGUGCAAGCGUUGUCCGGAAUUAUUGGGCGUAAAGAGCUCGUAGGCGGUCUGUCGCGUCGGCUGUGAAAUCCCGAGGCUCAACCUCGGGUCUGCAGUCGAUACGGGCAAACUAGAGUAUUGCAGGGGAGACUGGAAUUCCUGGUGUAGCGGUGAAAUGCGCAGAUAUCAGGAGGAACACCGGUGGCGAAGGCGGGUCUCUGGGCAAUAACUGACGCUGAGGAGCGAAAGCUAGGGGAGCAAACGGG
rnacentral:rRNA from 1 species